CCGAGAAGCUCACUGGAAAUUUUCACCAAGGUACGGUACAAAGUUACGGUCCGUACCUUGUGUUACGGGACCGUAACAGUGACCGUAUCUUGGUCCGUAUAUACGUUUCGGGUCACCUGACUUCGGGAGGCCAUAACCCUAUCAUAAAUUGGGAAUUUGGGAAAACUCAAAGAACGAAAGUUGUAGAUAAUUGAAAUAUCUUUCCAACCAUAGGUCGUGGGAUCAUAGGUGACAUCGGGAUAGGGAGAUAUGGACGUUUUAAGACAGAAAGGUCCCAACCCGAUUUCAAGUUGGGUCAAACCCAUUUCCCCUUGGUAUUUAAGGGAAAUGUUAACCCUAGCAGCCCCAUUUCCUCCAUAUUUUCAGAUUUUAGAGAGAGAAAGGGAGAGAGAGGAGAAUUAGAGAGAGAAAGUAGAGAAUCAACCAAGUUGAAGGCCCCGAAUCCCAAGGCUCGUGAAGGAUAAAGUGUAGUACAAGUUCUUGCCGUCGUUCUAAGCUACAAAUCAAACUUGGGGUGUUGAUUUCGUGGUGGAUGCUCAUAAAAGAUCAAAGUUGAAAAGGUUGACGAACAUUGUAUUACGCUCAAAGGCUGGAAUUAAGACAACGAUAUACAGGUUGACGACUCAGUUCUUUAGGAGUGCACGUAUCAGCUACUGGUGAGCCCCACAUUCCUUCGGGGCGUUGUCAUCUAUCUAGCUAUUUCAGUUUAUAGACAGCUUAAUUAUUAAGUACUCUUAGAGGCUUCAUAGACACAG